rnacentral:tRNA from 1 species
AAUUAAUGAACUUGUAUAAGUAUAUGUUUUGAAAACAUAAUAAAGAUAUCAAAUUUAUCUAUUAAUUU